rnacentral:rRNA from 1 species
UACAGAGGGGGCAAGCGUUAUUCGGAAUUACUGGGCGUAAAGCGUGCGCAGGCGGUUCGUUAAGUCAGCUGUGAAAGCCCCGGGCUCAACCUGGGAAUUGCGGUUGAAACUGGCGAACUAGAAUCUGGCAGAGGGGGGUGGAAUUCCACGUGUAGCAGUGAAAUGCGUAGAGAUGUGGAGGAACACCGAUGGCGAAGGCAGCCCCCUGGGCUGAGAUUGACGCUCAGGCACGAAAGCGUGGGGAGCAAACAGG